UGGGCAACCUGCCCUCAGCUCUGGGAUAACCCCGGGAAACCGGGGCUAAUACCGGAUACGACCUCCGCGGGCAUCUGCGGAGGUGGAAAGGUUUUCCGGCUGAGGAUGGGCCCGCGGCCUAUCAGCUAGUUGGUGAGGUAAUGGCUCACCAAGGCGACGACGGGUAGCCGGCCUGAGAAGGUGACCGGCCACACUGGGACUGAGACACGGCCCAGACUCCUACGGGAGGCA
rnacentral:rRNA from 1 species